rnacentral:rRNA from 1 species
AUGACGACCCUCAACCAGUUCGAUCUCCUCGGAGACGUCGACAACGACGACCCCACGCAGCUGCUUGCUGCGGCGGCGGCCGCCGCGGCAAAGAAGGCCCAGGCGAAUAAGACGGAGGCAGCGCCUGCUGGAAAGGCGGGCCAGACUGCGGCGGCGGCCAAGUUGCCGACCAAAUCCGCUCCCCCGGCACAGGCUGGGAGGGAUGCGAGGAGCGGAGGCCCACCAUCACGUGGAGGAUUUGGCCGUGGUGAACCUGGCCGCGGCAGAGGUGGUGGCCGAUACGGCCAGAACCGUGACUUUGGCAGUGAGAACACGAAUGGCUACCAGGGAGGUUAUGGCGGGGUAGGUUCUGGAGAUGGCGCUGUAGCUGGAGGCGGUGAUGGGGAGAGAGGCCCUCGACCAUACCGUGGAGGCGGUGGUAGACGUGGUGGUUACCGCAACGGUGAGUUUGGUGAUGACUCUGAGAGACCACCUCGGAGAAACUAUGAGCGCCACAGCGGGACUGGUCGUGGCCAAGGGAUGAAACGCGAUGGUGCAGGCCGUGGAAACUGGGGAUCUUCCACUGAUGAAGGUCUUGCACAGGAAACUGAUGAAGCUCUUAAAAUUGAGGACAAUGCUCCCAUCGCUGAGAAGCAGGGUGAGCAGGAUGAUGCUCCUCCAACAACAGUGGAGAAGAAAGACCACAAGGAUGGUGCUGCAAAGGAGGAGGAAGAGAAUGAAGAGGAUAAGGAGAUGACUCUAGAGGAGUUUGAGAAAAUAAGGGAGGAACAGCGGAAAGCACUACUAGCAUUGAAGACUGAAGAAAGAAAGGUUGAAGUUGACAAGGACCUGCAGUCUCUGCAGCCACUGUCUACCAAGAAAGCCAAUGAUGAGGUUUUCAUUAAAUUGGGUUCUGACAAGGAGAAGAAGAAGGAAAGUACUGAGCGUGAUGAACGUGCCAAGAAGUCUCUUAGCAUCAACGAGUUCCUCAAGCCUGCCGAGGGAGAACGAUACUACGGAGGCCGUGGUCGUGGAAGGGGCCGCGGCGAGGGCCGUGGAGACCGCGGCGGUUUCAGGGGCGGGUUUGGAGGAGGAUACCAGCACGGACAGGCGGCCGCGCCAUCCAUCGAAGAUCAGUCACAGUUCCCGACCCUGGGCGGGAAGUGA